UGUAUAGAAGUAAAGAUUACAUUUAAUUUCGGCUUAAAAUAUAAGCACUGCUAGUGCUUCGUACAA
rnacentral:tRNA from 1 species